rnacentral:lncRNA from 1 species
CUUCAGAGUUUUUUCCAGUGGUGCAGAGCAUUGCCAGUCUCAGGGAGUGAGGAUUUUUCGGGCACAGGAGUUCCCUUUGGAGCAAGGGUUCCUUUUCAGAGUUGGAGCUUUGCUGCUGCUGUAAAGGCUGAAGCACAGUCCUUUGUGAUAUUUGAGAGAUGAAUGAGUGGCCAGCCCUGCUCUGUGCAUUCUCAGACAGGAUUUGUGCUGCAUUCACUGCUGUGAUCAGAGCCCUCUGUCCUGCUUGUCCCUGUCCCCCAGGGGCUGGAUGAAAGCACAAAGUGAUGUCUGGGCUCUUCCUGCUGUGAUUUUGAAGGGAUUCCCCAGCUGUACACAGUGAGUUCCCAAGUGAGGUGUUGCCUUUGGCCUGAGGAGGUUUGAGAAGGAAGGAGAGAUGCUCCAAGCCCUGCCUGAGCUGCACAUCAGGGCUCUGUGGGUGCUGGAGUGGAACCCCAGCCCGUGUCCUGUCUCACCUCUUCACCCAGGUGUUUCUGUGCAGCAAUGGGAGCUCUUCCCUUUCAGUGCAAGUGUUCCCACGUGUGGUUUGCUCACAGCGAGCUCAGGGAGAGCAGUUCCAGGAGCUCUGCAGGGGCUGGAGCAUUCGUAGGUGAAGAUCUGUGAGACUUGUGCUUCCAGAGGCCCAAAUUCAGAUACAGCCAUUGCCCAAGGGCAAACAGUGGGGUCCCUAACGAGUAAUGUCCAUGUCACAAAGGGAUCCUGGUGUCCCUUUAACUGCUGACCUUUGUUCAGAGGGCCCAGGACACGUUUGAGAGCAGGAGCAGAUUUUGCAGGGAGAAGACUGGAGCUAAGGAGGCCUUUUCUGAGAAGCAGCUGUGCUACGAUUUGAGAAGUUGCUCAUCCUCGUGAUGAUUUGCCUGAGAGCUGCAGAGCAUUUGGCAGAUAAAGUGACAUUAUUCCAGGUCUUUGCCAUUUGUAAAAGAUGUUCUUGCUUCUCUCUUUCAUCUCCUUUUCUCCCAUGCUUCCCCCCUUCUCUAACCUGUAUAACUGUCAUAAAUUGCCUACAAUGGGCUUUUCUUUCAAGAUAAACUCAUU